AGUGAACGCUGGCGGUAGGCCUAACACAUGCAAGUCGAACGGCAGCACAGUAAGAGCUUGCUCUUACGGGUGGCGAGUGGCGGACGGGUGAGGAAUACAUCGGAAUCUACUUUUUCGUGGGGGAUAACGUAGGGAAACUUACGCUAAUACCGCAUACGACCUACGGGUGAAAGCAGGGGAUCUUCGGACCUUGCGCGAUUGAAUGAGCCGAUGUCGGAUUAGCUAGUUGGCGGGGUAAAGGCCCACCAAGGCGACGAUCCGUAGCUGGUCUGAGAGGAUGAUCAGCAACACGGUGACUGUGCCACGGCAGAGUAUGGCAGGGGAGGCGGCUGUGGGGAAGAUUGCACAGUGGGCGCAAGCGUGACACCGCCAUUGCGCGCUGGUGGCACAGGCCUGCGGUUUGAAACUCGUUUUUGUGUGAAAACAAAAGAAGCAUUUAAAUACGCUGAUGUUCUGACGGAACCCAAAGAAUAACAACUGGCUAACUGCGUGCCAGAAGCGGCGGUAAAAAUCGACAGACACACGGCUGAAU
rnacentral:rRNA from 1 species